UACAGAGGUGGCAAGCGUUGUUCGGAAUUACUGGGCGUAAAGGGCGCGUAGGCGGUUCGUUAAGUCCUGUGUGAAAUCCCCCGGCUCAACUGGGGAACUGCACAGGAAACUAGCGGGCUUGAGUUCGGGAGAGGGAAGCGGAAUUCCGGGUGUAGCGGUGAAAUGCGUAGAUAUCUGGAGGAACACCGGUGGCGAAGGCGGAUCUCUGGGCCUUGCCUGACGCUGAGGCGCGAAAGCUAGGGGAGCGAACAGG
rnacentral:rRNA from 1 species